rnacentral:rRNA from 1 species
GAGUUUGAUCAUGGCUCAGGAUGAACGCUAGCGGCAGGCCUAACACAUGCAAGUCGAGGGGGAAGUUACUUUCGGGUAACUGAGACCGGCGUACGGGUGCGUAACGCGUAUACAAUCUGCCUUUCACUGGGGGAUAGCCCGAAGAAAUUUGGAUUAAUACCCCAUAGUAUAGUAGUGUGGCAUCACACAACUAUUAAAGCUUAGGUGGUGAAAGAUGAGUAUGCGUUCUAUUAGCUAGUUGGAGAGGUAACGGCUCCCCAAGGCGAUGAUAGAUAGGGGUUCUGAGAGGGAUGUCCCCCACACUGGUACUGAGAUACGGACCAGACUCCUACGGGAGGCAGCAGUGAGGAAUAUUGGACAAUGGUCGGAAGACUGAUCCAGCCAUGCCGCGUGCAGGAUGAAGGUCUUAUGGAUUGUAAACUGCUUUUGUAAGGGAAGAAUAAGGGCUACGUGUAGUUUGAUGACGGUACCUUACGAAUAAGCAUCGGCUAACUCCGUGCCAGCAGCCGCGGUAAUACGUAGGGUGCGAGCGUUAAUCGGAAUUACUGGGCGUAAAGCGGGCGCAGACGGUUACUUAAGCAGGAUGUGAAAUCCCCGGGCUCAACCUGGGAACUGCGUUCUGAACUGGGUGACUAGAGUGUGUCAGAGGGAGGUAGAAUUCCACGUGUAGCAGUGAAAUGCGUAGAGAUGUGGAGGAAUACCGAUGGCGAAGGCAGCCUCCUGGGAUAACACUGACGUUCAUGCCCGAAAGCGUGGGUAGCAAACAGGAUUAGAUACCCUGGUAGUCCACGCCCUAAACGAUGUCGAUUAGCUGUUGGGCAGCAUGACUGCUUAGUAGCGAAGCUAACGCGUGAAAUCGACCGCCUGGGGAGUACGGUCGCAAGAUUAAAACUCAAAGGAAUUGACGGGGACCCGCACAAGCGGUGGAUGAUGUGGAUUAAUUCGAUGCAACGCGAAGAACCUUACCUGGUCUUGACAUGUACGGAACCCUCCAGAGACGGAGGGGUGCCUUCGGGAGCCGUAACACAGGUGCUGCAUGGCUGUCGUCAGCUCGUGUCGUGAGAUGUUGGGUUAAGUCCCGCAACGAGCGCAACCCUUGUCAUUAGUUGCCAUCAUUAAGUUGGGCACUCUAAUGAGACUGCCGGUGACAAGCCGGAGGAAGGUGGGGAUGACGUCAAGUCCUCAUGGCCCUUAUGACCAGGGCUUCACACGUCAUACAAUGGUCGGUACAGAGGGUAGCCAAGCCGCGAGGUGGAGCCAAUCUCACAAAACCAAUCGUAGUCCGGAUUGCACUCUGCAACUCGAGUGCAUGAAGUCGGAAUCGCUAGUAAUCGCAGGUCAGCAUACUGCGGUGAAUACGUUCCCGGGUCUUGUACACACCGCCCGUC